UACGGAGGGAGCUAGCGUUGUUCGGAAUUACUGGGCGUAAAGCGCACGUAGGCGGCUUUGUAAGUUAGAGGUGAAAGCCCGGGGCUCAACCCCGGAACUGCCUUUAAGACUGCAUCGCUUGAAUCCAGGAGAGGUGAGUGGAAUUCCGAGUGUAGAGGUGAAAUUCGUAGAUAUUCGGAAGAACACCAGUGGCGAAGGCGGUCCCCUGGGCCGGAACUGACGCUGAGGCGCGAAAGCGUGGGUAGCAAACGGG
rnacentral:rRNA from 1 species